GAGGCCCACCUUCAUCUGUGAGCAUCUUCCCCCCCGGAUGGAUGCUGCUGCUGCUGCUGGCCAAGGGUAGAGGAGUCCAAAGAAGAUACUCAAAGCCCAGACUUAAAAACCAUUUGAGCAUUUGAAGAAAAAAACCCACGGGUGAUACAGAUACAACCAAACUGCUGGGCACUCCAAAAAAGUGGAGAACAGCUAUGAAAACUGGAUAUAAAUCUGACUCCUCGGCGCUGCCAAAUACGCACUGUCGCUCGGGGUUUGUUCUAUUGAUUCAUGAGAAAGAUGACGGCAC
ensembl:lncRNA